CUCGAGUGAGUAGGAAGCAUCAUGGAACACUUCGUGUCGUCUUAUUAUCUGAUAGUUAAAAACUGUUAUAAAAGUGUGUGUGUAUACUAUUUAUUAAUAAUAUUCGCAAGAGAUAGCAUUGUGUAAAUUCGAUCGUGUGUUUUUUAUGAUUUAUCGCGCGAUCGUCGCUAAUCUAAUCUAACUUAACCUAGCCUAACCAAUAUUUUCUCGUUCUUCUGUCGUGAAAUAAAAUGUGCAUAUAAAGUUAACGUCGAAAGUAUAUGUAAAGUAAUCGUAAUUAACUGUGUUUCCUCGUGAGUGUUAUGUAAGUGCUAAAAAGUAACAAAUGAGGAAGAGACGACUCGAAGAAAUAACGGGUAAUACUGCGGUGAGUGAUCAUUUUCAUAAAUGAUUGGGAAGUCAAGAAAGCACUGUAACUUCGGUAAGCAGACGUUCGAGUCGAGCGAGCAAAAAAUAUCUGACGCUCGCAUAUGUUAAUCGUCACCCACGUGGUCCACCCAAGUAGUAAGAUAUUACGAGGCAUCUUUAAAACUGCACAAGAUUCACCAGAGAUUAGACAUAUGCAAGUAUAUUAUGUAUGUUAUGUAACAAGUUAUGUAUAAGAAAUACAUAAUCUCGACAUUAAAAAUAUAAUGUGAUGUGCUUUAA